rnacentral:rRNA from 1 species
AUGUCAGCAGCCGCGAUAAUACGUAGGUGGCAAGCGUUGUCCGGAAUUAUUGGGCGUAAAGAGCAUGUAGGUGGGCUGUUAAGUCUGUUGUGAAAAUGCGGGGCUCAACCCCGUAUUGCGAUGGAAACUGACAGUCUUGAGUGCAGGAGAGGAAAGGGGAAUUCCCAGUGUAGCGGUGAAAUGCGUAGAUAUUGGGAGGAACACCAGUGGCGAAGGCGCCUUUCUGGACUGUGUCUGACACUGAGAUGCGAAAGCUAGGGGAGCGAACGGGAUUAGAUACCCCGGUAGUCCUAGCCGUAAACGAUGGGUACUAGGUGUAGGGGGUAUCGACCCCCCCUGUGCCGGAGUUAACGCAAUAAGUACCCCGCCUGGGGAGUACGGCCGCAAGGUUGAAACUCAAAGGAAUUGACGG